UUGACCUCAAAUCGGGUGAGACUACCCGCUGAACUUAAGCAUAUACUAA
rnacentral:rRNA from 1 species